rnacentral:misc_RNA from 1 species
AAAGUCGUAACAAGGUUUCCGUAGGUGAACCUGCGGAAGGAUCAUCAUUGAAUCUAUAUUCUACACACCCUUGUGAACUUGGUGGCUCGCGAUCUCUGCACAAUUUGAUUGUGCCCGAGUUUCGAGAGCGUGCCAGCAUUUUAUGUCUGUGUGGUGUUGGCGGAGUCUGUGUACGCGUUGGACGAUUUAUUCGACUGAUGCUGCAGUCCGCCGAUGCCCAUUCACGCACAGACCCUUGUAUAAAACAAACUCUUUAACAAAACGAAAAACUAAUACAAUAUGUUUGUAAUUAAAACAACUUUCAACAAUGGAUCUCUUGGCUCUC